AACGAACGCUGGCGGCAGGCCUAACACAUGCAAGUCGAACGCACUCUUCGGAGUGAGUGGCAGACGGGUGAGUAACGCGUGGGAACCUUCCCAGUGGUGCGGAAUAGCCCAGGGAAACUUGGGGUAAUACCGCAUACGCCCUUCGGGGGAAAGAUUUAUCGCCAUUGGAUGGGCCCGCGUCGGAUUAGCUAGUUGGUGAGGUAAUGGCUCACCAAGGCAACGAUCCGUAGCUGGUUUGAGAGAAUGACCAGCCACACUGGGACUGAGACACGGCCCAGACUCCUACGGGAGGCAGCAGUGGGGAAUCUUGGACAAUGGGCGCAAGCCUGAUCCAGCCAUGCCGCGUGAGUGACGAAGGCCUUAGGGUUGUAAAGCUCUUUUGGCGGGGACGAUAAUGACGGUACCCGCAGAAUAAGUCCCGGCUAACUUCGUGCCAGCAGCCGCCGUAACAC
rnacentral:rRNA from 1 species